ACAGGAUUUGAAAUCUUCCCACUGAUUUUGAAUUAACAGACUUACCCCCCUGAGUUAACUAAAGAAUUGCUGUGUGUAGUCUUUGCCCAUCCCCUGUGAUGGGCUUUUUUUUGC
rnacentral:other from 1 species